rnacentral:rRNA from 1 species
AGUGAACGCUGGCGGCAGGCCUAAUACAUGCAAGUCGAACGGCAGCACAGUAAGAGUUUGCUCUUACCGGUGGCGAGUGGCGGACGGGUGAGGAAUACAUCGGAAUCUACUUUUUCGGGGGGGAUAACGUAGGGACACUGACGCUACUACCGAAUACGACCUACGGCAGAAAGCAGGAGAUCUUCGGACCUUGCGCGACUGAAUGAGCCGAUGUCGGAUUAGCUAGUUGGCGGGGUAAAGGCCCACCAAGGCGACGAUACGUAGCUGGUCUGAGAGGAUGAUCGGCCACACUGGAACUGAGACACGGUCCAGACUCCUACGGGAGGCAGCAGUGGGGAAUAUUGGACAAUGGGCGCAAGCCUGAUCCAGCCAUACCGCGUGAGUGAUGAAGGCCUUCGGGUCGUAAAGCCCUUUUGUUGGGGAAGAAAAGCUGCGGGUUAAUACCCCGCUGUUCUGACGGUACCCAAAGAAUAAGCACCGGCUAACUUCGUG